rnacentral:rRNA from 1 species
UACGUAGGGUGCAAGCGUUAAUCGGAAUUACUGGGCGUAAAGCGUGCGCAGGCGGCGCCGCAAGUCGAGUGUGAGAUCCCCGAGCUUAACUUGGGAAUUGCGCUCGAAACUACGGUGCUGGAGUGUGGCAGAGGGAGGUGGAAUUCCACGUGUAGCGGUGAAAUGCGUAGAUAUCUGGAGGAACAUCGGUGGCGAAGGCGGCAUCCUGGACCGGUAUUGACGCUGAGGCGCGAAAGCCAGGGGAGCAAACGGG